rnacentral:rRNA from 1 species
CGRCUCACCAUGUUGACKAUCAGUAGCCUGAWUGAGAGGUUGAACGGMCACAUUGGGAKUGAGACWCGGCCCAGACUCYUACGGGAGGCAGCAGUGGGGAAUAUUGCACAAUGGGGGAAACCCUGAUGCAGMGAUGCCGCGUGGAGGAAGAAGGUUUUCGGAUUKUAAACUYCUGUCUUAAAGGACGAUAAUGACGGUACUUUAAG